rnacentral:rRNA from 1 species
GACGAACGCUGGCGGCGUGCCUAACACAUGCAAGUCGAACGGAAAGGCCCUGCUUUUGUGGGGUGCUCGAGUGGCGAACGGGUGAGUAACACGUGAGUAACCUGCCCUUGACUUUGGGAUAACUUCAGGAAACUGGGGCUAAUACCGGAUAGGAGCUCCUGCUGCAUGGUGGGGGUUGGAAAGUUUCGGCGGUUGGGGAUGGACUCGCGGCUUAUCAGCUUGUUGGUGAGGUAGUGGCUUACCAAGGCUUUGACGGGUAGCCGGCCUGAGAGGGUGACCGGCCACAUUGGGCCUGAGAUACGGCCCAGACUCCAACGGGAGGCAGCAGUGGGGAAUAUUGCACAAUGGGCGGAAGCCUGAUGCAGAAACGCCGCGUGCGGGAUGACGGCCUUCGGGUUGUAAACCGCUUUCGCCUGUGACGAAGCGUGAGUGACGGUAAUGGGUAAAGAAGCACCGGCUAACUACGUG